rnacentral:rRNA from 1 species
GCUUUCGGAAUGACUAAGCCAUGCGAGUCAUUGUAGCAAUACAAGGCAGACGGCUCAGUAACGCGUAGUCAACCUAACCUAUGGACGGGAAUAACCUCGGGAAACUGAGAAUAAUGCCCGAUAGAACACUAUACCUGGAAUGGUUUGUGUUCCAAAUGAUUUAUCGCCGUAGGAUGGGACUGCGGCCUAUCAGUUUGUUGGUGAGGUAAUGGCCCACCAAGACUAUUACAGGUACGGGCUCUGAGAGGAGUAGCCCGGAGAUGGGUACUGAGACACGGACCCAGGCCCUAUGGGGCGCAGCAGGCGAGAAAACUUUGCAAUGUGCGAAAGCACGACAAGGUUAAUCCGAGUGGUUUCUGCUAAAGGAACCUUUUGUCAGUCCUAGAAACACUGACGAAUAAGGGGUGGGCAAGUUCUGGUGUCAGCCGCCGCGGUAAAACCAGCACCUCAAGUGGUCAGGAUGAUUAUUGGGCCUAAAGCAUCCGUAGCCGGCUCUGUAAGUUUUCGGUUAAAUCUGUACGCUCAACGUACAGGCUGCCGGGAAUACUGCAGAGCUAGGGAGUGGGAGAGGUAGACGGUACUCGGUAGGAAGGGGUAAAAUCCUUUGAUCUAUUGAUGACCACCUGUGGCGAAGGCGGUCUACCAGAACACGUCCGACGGUGAGGGAUGAAAGCUGGGGGAGCAAACCGGAUUAGAUACCCGGGUAGUCCCAGCUGUAAACUAUGCAAACUCAGUGAUGCAUUGGCUUGUGGCCAAUGCAGUGCUGCAGGGAAGCCGUUAAGUUUGCCGCCUGGGAAGUACGUACGCAAGUAUGAAACUUAAAGGAAUUGGCGGGGGAGCACCACAAGGGGUGAAGCCUGCGGUUCAAUUGGAGUCAACGCCGGGAAUC